rnacentral:tRNA from 1 species
ACCAUAACAGUUCAGUUGGGAGAACGUUAGACUAUAGAUCGAAAGGUCCCUGGUUCGAUGCUGGGAUUAGGCA